rfam:Triticum aestivum genome assembly, contig: Triticum_aestivum_CS42_TGACv1_scaffold_251773_3DL
CAUGUACUCCCUUCGAUCCAUAUUAUUUGUCGCUCAAAUUGAUGAAUCUAGCACUGAAAUACAUCUAGAUACAUCCAUUUGAGCGACAAAUAAUAUGGAUUGGAGGGAGUACAAA